rnacentral:lncRNA from 1 species
AGCAAAAUGACCAAGUGGCAGGGUCUGUAAGAGUCUCUCACUGUAGGGAUGGGCUGCCCUGAGGAGACACUGCCCAGGCCUGGGUGCCCCGGGCCAAAGUCCUGACCCUUGCAGGGCUGUGUCCUGUGGAUGACAUGUGGCACUGGACUGCUCACUGACAGGCUCACGGUGCAAGCUGCCAGUGGAUCUACCAUUCUGGGGUUGGAAGAUGGUGGCCCUCUUCUCACUGCUCC